rnacentral:rRNA from 1 species
AUUGAACGCUGGCGGCAGGCCUAACACAUGCAAGUCGGGCGGUAACAUGGGACUUUGGUUCUGAUGACGAGCGGCGGACGGGUGAGUAAAGUCUAGGAAUCUGCCCAAUAGAGGGGGACAACGCGGGGAAACUCGCGCUAAUACCGCAUACGCCCUACGGGGGAAAGGUGCUUAACUGUACCGCUAUUGGAUGAGCCUAGAUCGGAUUAGCUAGUUGGUAGGGUAAAGGCCUACCAAGGCGACGAUCCGUAGCUGGUCUGAGAGGAUGAUCAGCCACACUGGGACUGAGACACGGCCCAGACUCCUACGGGAGGCAGCAGUGGGGAAUAUUGGACAAUGGGGGCAACCCUGAUCCAGCCAUGCCGCGUGUGUGAAGAAGGUCUUCGGAUUGUAAAGCACUUUAAGUUGGGAGGAAGGGGUAGAGUAACGACCUACUUUUGACGUUACCAACAGAAUAAGCACCGGCUAACUUCGUGCCAGCCGCCGCCGUAACAC